rnacentral:rRNA from 1 species
GACGAACGCUGGCGGCGUGCUUAACACAUGCAAGUCGAACGGAAAGGCCCUGCUUUUGUGGGGUGCUCGAGUGGUGAACGGGUGAGUAACACGUGGGUAACCUGCCCUUGACUUUGGGAUAACUUCGGGAAACUGGGGCUAAUACCGGAUAGGAGCUCCUGCUGCAUGGGGGGGGUGGGAAAGUUUCGGCGGUUGGGGAUGGACUCGGGGCUUAUCAGCUUGUUGGUGGGGUAGUGGGUUACCAAGGCUUUGACGGGUAGCCGGCCUGAGAGGGUGACCGGCCACAUUGGGACUGAGAUACGGCCCAGACUCCUAAGGGAGGCAGCAGUGGGGAAUAUUGCACAAUGGGCGGAAGCCUGAUGCAGCAACGCCGCGUGCGGGAUGACGGCCUUCGGGUUGUAAACCGCUUUCGCCUGUGACGAAGCGUGAGUGACGGUAAUGGGUAAAGAAGCACCGGCUAACUACGUG